GACGAACGCUGGCGGCGUGCUUAACACAUGCAAGUCGAACGGAAAGGCCCUGCUUUUGUGGGGUGCUCGAGUGGCGAACGGAUGAGUAACACGUGAGUAACCUGCCCUUGACUUUGGGAUAACUUCAGGAAACUGGGGCUAAUACCGGAUAGGAGCUCCUGCUGCAUGGUGGGGGUUGGAAAGUUUCGGCGGUUGGGGAUGGACUCGCGGCUUAUCAGCUUGUUGGUGGGGUAGUGGCUUACCAAGGCUUUGACGGGUAGCCGGCCUGAGAGGGUGACCGGCCACAUUGGGACUGAGAUACGGCCCAGACUCCUACGGGAGGCAGCAGUGGGGAAUAUUGCACAAUGGGCGGAAGCCUGAUGCAGCAACGCCGCGUGCGGGAUGACGGCCUUCGGGUUGUAAACCGCUUUCGCCUGUGACGAAGCGUGAGUGACGGUAAUGGGUAAAGAAGCACCGGCUAACUACGUGCCAGCAGCCGCGGUGAUACGUAGGGUGCGAGCGUUGUCCGGAUUUAUUGGGCGUAAAGGGCUCGUAGGUGGUUGAUCGCGUCGGAAGUGUAAUCUUGGGGCUUAACCCUGAGCGUGCUUUCGAUACGGGUUGACUUGAGGAAGGUAGGGGAGAAUGGAAUUCCUGGUGGAGCGGUGGAAUGCGCAGAUAUCAGGAGGAACACCAGUGGCGAAGGCGGUUCUCUGGGCCUUUCCUGACGCUGAGGAGCGAAAGCGUGGGGAGCGAACAGGCUUAGAUACCCUGGUAGUCCACGCUGUAAACGGUGGGUACUAGGUGUGGGGUCCAUUCCACGGGUUCCGUGCCGUAGCUAACGCUUUAAGUACCCCGCCUGGGGAGUACGGCCGCAAGGCUAAAACUCAAAGGAAUUGACGGGGCCCCGCACAAGCGGCGGAGCAUGCGGAUUAAUUCGAUGCAACGCGUAGAACCUUACCUGGGUUUGACAUGGAUCGGGAGUGCUCAGAGAUGGGUGUGCCUCUUUUGGGGUCGGUUCACAGGUGGUGCAUGGCUGUCGUCAGCUCGUGUCGUGAGAUGUUGGGUUAAGUCCCGCAACGAGCGCAACCCUUGUUCACUGUUGCCAGCACGUUAUGGUGGGGACUCAGUGGAGACCGCCGGGGUCAACUCGGAGGAAGGUGGGGAUGACGUCAAGUCAUCAUGCCCCUUAUGUCCAGGGCUUCACGCAUGCUACAAUGGCUGGUACAGAGAGUGGCGAGCCUGUGAGGGUGAGCGAAUCUCGGAAAGCCGGUCUCAGUUCGGAUUGGGGUCUGCAACUCGACCUCAUGAAGUCGGAGUCGCUAGUAAUCGCAGAUCAGCAACGCUGCGGUGAAUACGUUCCCGGG
rnacentral:rRNA from 1 species